GGAAGACUGGCUUUUAAGAGACCCGCGAUGGCCUGAACCGGCCCCUCUGAUGUAAAUUUAAGGUUUAAAGUGAUGAGGGAAUAGAAAACAGGAAAAACCUGUCGCCACCGAGUUGAUCUAUCCUAUUCCUGUGAAAGAUGAUUCCUUUGCUGACAUCGGGACCAAUGUUUCCAGGCUUCUCUCACUGACCAUUGAUCGAGGACCAGUGGCUCUUCAGGAAUCCUCCAAGUUUUUGUACCAAAUUGGGGCUGCUGAGGCACCUAGCCCACUGACUGAGCAACUACCAGGAUCUUGAUCUCUUCAGUGUAGACGGCCACUGUGGAACUCCUCCAGUUGCUGAGGCCCCCACCCGACGGCCACUGUGGAACUCCUCCAGUUGCUGAGGCCCCCACCCAGCCUCAAGAAAGAGAAACUACAGGUUCAGCCUCUCAGGUUGGCUUCCAACUAUCAACUUUCCAAGGGCUUGGAUUAUAGGCAUAUGUCAAUAUGCUAGAGUUACAAUAAUGUUGCUUAAAAGUAUUUAAUAUAAGCUAUGACUGUAAAAGGAGAGAAACAGAAACAGCAUGUCCCACAUAAAUCUGAUCACAGAACCCUUUAUUCUGGAAAACCCAUCAAGAAGCCUCAAGUCUUUGGAAAACCUUGAACUAGGAAAUUUAUAACCACAUCAAGAGAUUUUCACCAACCACCUCCUCAGCCUACAACUGGGAUAUGUUCACAGACCAACACUAGUCUGUCACAGUAGCUUUCCAUGUCUCCUAAAAGGCAUAAUUGGCAUUCCACAAUGCAAAAUUUCUCAAGAACAAACAGAGCCCUAGUUCUUUGUGGGUAGAGAAAAAUUCCCAAGCCAACACGACUGCCCCGAGCUAGUGCCUGAGCCUAGACUAAGAGGUCAGUUGGUACCUACAAGCCUCAGAAUCCUAGAGAGAGAAGGACACGAGACAAAAUAGAGUGGUUUGAAUGAAAUGAAAUGAGGUGUGUCUGGUAGACCUACUUGUGGAGAUGAAAAGAUUUCCAUUGAAAUCCUGAGUGAAUGGCACUCAUUUCCACAACCCCCAGUGAAUAAGCUGGAAUACAGCUACACACCCACAUGGAAAUCAGGUCAACUAGAACCUUCAGGGUCCCAUUAACAUCAAGAGGACCACUCAGGAGAAUGCAAGUAGUAAUGUCUGAAGAGGAUCAGUAAUUCACUUUCUACCUAGACUUCCAGUGCUAAAGCUUCU